rnacentral:lncRNA from 1 species
UCUCAGCUCACUGCAACCUCCCUCUCCCAGGUUCAAGCCAUUCUUGUGUUUCAGCCUCCUGAGUAGCUGGGAUUACAGGCGUGCACCACCAUGCCCAGCUAAUUUUUAUGUUUUUAGUAGAGAUGGGAUUUUGCCACAUUGGCCAGGCUGGGCUUCAACUCCUUGCCUUUAGCAAUCCACCCAUCUUGGCCUCCUAAAGUCCUGGGAUUACAGGCAUGAGCCACUGUGCCCAGCCAAAACAGUUAUAUGUGCUUUAAAUAGGUUAAGAGGGGAAAAAUAGUCUUUUAUAUUUACCCAGAUGUACCAUUUCUUAUGUUGUUUUUUCCUAAAGAUCUGAGUUUCUCUGUCUUAUUUUCCUUCAACCUGAAAAAGAACUUCUUUAGCAUUUUUGUAGUGAGCAUUUGCUCUGACUUUUAAUUUUAAUCAUAAGAUAAAUGGGUGGAUGUCCGCCUGCAUGGUCCCCCUGCACAGGGCAAGGUUGUGAGUUUGUUACCACAAUGGAAUAAGGUGUUCUUGCCUUCAAUGUUUUCUUUCUUCUUCUUCUUCUUAUUUUUGAGACAGAGUCUCGCUCUGUUGACCAGGCUGGAGUGCAGUGGCACAAUCUCAGCUUACUGCAACCUCUGCCUCCUGGAUUCAAGCAAUUAUCUGCCUCGGCCUCCCAAGUAGCUAGAAUUACAGGUGCCUGCCACCAAGCCCAGCUGAGUUUUUUGUAUUUUCAGUUGAAACAGGGUUUCACCAUCUUGGCCAGGCUGGUCUUGAACUCCUGACCUCAUGAUCCACCCAUCUCAGCCUCCCAAAGUGCUGGG